UGAAAAUUAUUCUGUGCUGAUUUGUCUAUGAAACAUAUUUUACAUUGUGCUUUUCUUUCUUUUGCUGUCUUUCAUUUCAAAAGGAGUUCUUUGACUAAAGUAGGGGUACACUUCUUAGUUGAUUCAAAAGGGGGACACCUUCUCACUUAAACAAUCCAGAAAAACACUCUGGAAAAGCUCUUUUUCAAAGCUACUUGAUCAAAAUUUUAAACAAUCACCUUUUCAUCUUUAUUUAUCAGGAAAUUUCUUGUAAUCUCAGAAAGUUUUGAUCCACCACAGAACAUCCUGCCUCAAUUAAAUGUGUUAACUAGCCACAGUUUGUUUGGGUUUGCUCCUCAUUUGGAGGUUAUUGACACCACUACUCAGCUGGAAGAAGAAGGUUUAUGAACAUUUAUUAUCUGCUAUCAUGCAAAGUUUGCAAACUUGCUUCAAAACACUUUUAGUGUCUGUUCAGACUAACUCCACUCACCUUAAACUUAGGUAAUAACAGAGCAACAGUCUAUGGGUAGCAUGGUGGAAGACAAUCUCUUAAAAUGUCACAACUGUGUUUACCACCUGCCUCAUCAAAUUUGUUCGUCUUCUAAAAUACAUAGUAAUAUCCAAGGCAGAAAUUCCUAAGCAGAGUAUAAAUUAAUAUUUCUAUUUAUAUCAUUCUCUGCAGCAUUCUAUAAACUACAGGCUUCUCAGCUUAUAGUCAGACUAAUUUCACACUGGCCUUCCUUACACAAAUGCAAUCUUUGUUUCUAAAUUAUGUGUUUCUAAAACAUAUAAUUCUUUCCUCAAAAUACCCAGUAAAACAUAAUUAUCACACUCUAUUUCAUUUUUACUAUCUACAAUUGCUUUUUCCUUCAUUUCAGAUUUACUUGUUCAAUGUAUUUUCAGUCCUAGGAAGAUGCUACAAUUAUCAUAACAGGUCACUAAAAAUAAUAAUGUCACUGGAAAUAGUGACAUUUUGAAUAAAAUAAUGUCAUUCAUACUCCUAUGUGUAUGAUGUUUAAACCUCAGCUUUGAGAUCACGUUAUAUUCAUAUUGCAUGUCAUUCAGGUCAGGUGGACUUAACAGAACAGUUCACCUAUUUGCAGAUGUUUGUGAGAUUUAAGAGUGGUUUUUAUGAUUAUUUAAAGCUUUUUCAGGCACACAGAAAUAAAUAGAUAAGUCAGUUACGGCAUUCUGAAUGAUGAUAAAAAGCUGAUCAUACCUAUGGCCAUCAGCCCGAAGACGUGACUACAGUCAAGCAUCAUGUAAAGUCUGUAAAUUUUCUCAUCCACGUUUGUGAAGUAUACUGACCAAAGAAGUAAAAACACAGACAGUUGCCACAGGUAUAUAUGUUUUUCCUCAGGAAAGAUGAAGAUGGCCAAGAGAGAUAUAGAACAUUUUAUUAUUUGUCCCCUAUCAAAAUACAGAGAACCAGAGAGCAUUUGUCAGUCUUUGGCCCUGUGAUGGUAUUUGGGUCACUCAAUUUGCUCUCUGCUGGAUCUGUUAAUGGAAGUCCUGCUAUGUCCUAUUUCUGCGAGCUAUAAACUUUGACAACUUUCUGAAAGCUUGUAUAGUAAAGGGUAGGGUUUAGAUGAACUCAUCUUAAAGGCUUAUCUUGUCCUGGAAGGUUCCAGAGUUUCGUCGAAGCAGCUAUUUCACUCAGGAGAACUAAUGAUACUGUGGACACCCUGCUAUGACUAAAAAGCCUUCAUUGAAAUGGGGAAUAUUCUUGAAGUCUGAAAAGAUGGAUUCUCUGAUGCAGGUGGCUUCCUGUCAUAAAAAUGAAGAGGUGAUCUAA